UCUCUCUCUAUUUUUUUUAGAGAGAAUUUCUCUCUCGGUUUUUUGCUUAGUCCCUAGGGCUUUCUAUCCUUCUUCUUGCAAGAUCUAUGGCUUCCCCUGCCCCCUCAUGGGCAAGGGGGGCUUGCUUCCUUGCCAGAAAGUGGGUUUUCUCCCUCCCAUCUUUUGGUACGACAUAUAGGUUUUUGUUUUCUCUUUGUUGCUAGUCUACUACAAUAGAGAGGGUUCUUGGUUGACCUGCUCAGCUCUUUGAUGGGUUGCAUGCUUUAUUUAGGUUUUAGAGGUGUAUUAGGCGAGUUGAAG
rnacentral:misc_RNA from 1 species